AACGAACGCUGGCGGCAGGCUUAACACAUGCAAGUCGAACGCCCCGCAAGGGAGUGGCGGACGGGUGAGUAACGCGUGGGAACGUGCCUCGAGGUUCGGAAUAACCGAGGGAAACUUCGGCUAAUACCGGAUGAGCCCGAAAGGGGAAAGAUUCAUCGCCUCGAGAGCGGCCCGCGUUGGAUUAGCUAGUUGGUGGGGUAACGGCCUACCAAGGCUUCGAUCCAUAGCUGGUCUGAGAGGACGACCAGCCACACUGGGACUGAGACACGGCCCAGACUCCUACGGGAGGCAGCAGUGGGGAAUUUUGGACAAUGGGCGAAAGCCUGAUCCAGCCAUGCCGCGUGCGGGAAGAAGGCCUU
rnacentral:rRNA from 1 species